rnacentral:misc_RNA from 1 species
GCAAACUUGGUCAUUUAGAGGAAGUAAAAGUCGUAACAAGGUCUCCGUAGGUGAACCUGCGGAGGGAUCAUUACCGAGUGUGGGCCUCCAGGCCCAACCUCCCAACCCUUUGCCGAUACUAUCUGUUGCCUCGGGGGGCGUCUUUGACUAGCCGUCCCUCAGAGGGCCAACCCACACUGCGUCCUUGCGUCGGAGUAUUGAAAACAAUCAAUCAAAACUUUCAACAACGGAUCUCUUGGUUCUGGCAUCGAUGAAGAACGCAGC